rnacentral:piRNA from 1 species
UCCAACAGGAGUUCGGAGAUAAACGGAA